AUUGAACGCUGGCGGCAUGCCUUACACAUGCAAGUCGAACGGUAACGGGCCUUCGGGUGCCGCCGAGUGGCGCACGGGUUCGUAAUACAUCGGAACGUGCCCGAUCGUGGGGGAUAACGCGGCGAAAGCUUUUCUAAUACCGCAUACGAUCUACGUCUGCAAGCCGGGGACCGCAAGGCCUUGCGCGGACGGAGCGGCCGAUGGCAGAUUAGGUAGUUGGUGGGAUAAAAGCUUACCAAGCCGACGAUCUGUAGCUGGUCUGAGAGGAUGAUCAGCCACACUGGGACUGAGACACGGCCCAGACUCCUACGGGAGGCAGCAGUGGGGAAUUUUGGACAAUGGGCGCAAGCCUGAUCCAGCCAUGCCGCGUGCAGGAUGAAGGCCUUCGGGUUGUAAACUGCUUUUGUACGGAACGAAAAGCCUUCUUUUAAUACAGGAGGGUCAUGACGGUACCGUAAGAAUAAGCACCGGCUAACUACGUG
rnacentral:rRNA from 1 species